CAGUCGUAAACUAUGCUCGCUAGGUGUCAGGCAUGGCGCGACCGUGUCUGGUGCCGCAGGGAAGCCGUGAAGCGAGCCACCUGGGAAGUACGGCCGCAAGGCUGAAACUUAAAGGAAUUGGCGGGGGGAGGCACCACAACGGGUGGAGCCUGCGGUUUAAUUGGACUCAACGCCGGGAAGCUCACCGGAUAAGACAGCGGAAUGAUUGCCGGGCUGAAGACUCUGCAUGACUAGCUGAGAGGUGGUGCAUGGCGUAGACGUCU
rnacentral:rRNA from 1 species